UUUGGGUUCACUGAAUUCUAAGCCAUUUUCUGGGCAGAUCAGUGGAAGUCCACAUAAGCCAUCCAGAGCAGCUUCCCACUGCAGAUGGUCAACAUGAAUGUUCCAGCACCUCCACUGAGGACGCAGCAAGGAUGCAGCAGCCCCUGUGCUCUGUGAUGGGCCAGGCAUCCUGCGCCCACCGUGCUGACUCCAUCGAGUUCCCUGGGCUUCACAACACUAUGCUGGAAAACUUUCCCCAUUCCCAUCAUAUCCUGGUGCACCGGGGAAGCCUUCCUUCUUUUAUCAAGGAGGAAUUGACCAGCAUCAAGGGAUGCUCCUCAGGGCAGCACCAGCAGCUCUCAGACCACUCCGGGUCGCUUCUGCUUCAGGGAUUCCCCUUCUCGGACCCUCACGGUCUGACGAUUGACAGCAGUUGUCGCCGCUUUGUCUCGUUCGGAGCAGCCCUGCCAGGCGCUCUGAGGGGCAGGUUUAAGGACAGAAUCACUGCAGAUCGGAUGGCACUUUCAAAAAGAAAACUCAUGUUUUUAAUGUUCUUCUUUAAGGAAAUGACAACAAAAUAACACAGUGGGGUGAGAUGCCGAGUCAGCUGGGAAGUUUCAGCGUGUCCCGCUGCCAUUUGCUGGGUGUCCCCUCUCCUGCUGGGGCGGUGUGUCCCAUAGUGCCGCCAUCCGUUGUGCUCCGGCUCCCUCUAGUGCCGCUCUGUGCUGAUAUCGCUGCUCCUCCAUCCGGCUGCUCCGGCUCCAUUUGUGGCCCGGAGCUGUGCUCACCUCCAGCUGUUAGUGUGGGCUCACAGCACCGCCGGGCCCUUUUCGACCGAACACAGCAAAGCCUUUCCGCCGCCGGGCCCGAGCGGGACAUCAGGGAGGAACGUUCGCGUGGCGGAACCUCCGUGCCAGCGGCGCUUGUUGCACCCCGACCAACUGGCUUCCGGUCCAUACUUCCGGUUCCGCCUACCCCCAUUUCCCAGGUUCCCUUGCGGCUCCUUUCUCUUCCGGUUCCCGCCCCGCCGUGGUUCGGUGCCGCCAUGGCCAAGUCCAAGAACCACACCACGCACAAUCAGUGUGAGUCACCGCCCCGGGCCCGGCUGUGCCCGUAAGUGGCACAGAAAUGGCAUCAAGAAGCCCAGAAAACAUCGAUACGAGUCUCUCAAAGGGGUUGAUCCCAAGUUCCUGAGGAACAUGAGAUUUGCCAAGAAACACAA